rnacentral:misc_RNA from 1 species
UUUCCGUAGGUGAACCUGCGGAAGGAUCAUUAUUGAAACUUGAAUCGUAGCAUUGAGAACUGUUGCUGACCUGUUAAAGGGUAUGUGCACGUUCGACGUGUUGCGUUCUAUUCAUCCACCUGUGCACCUUUGUAGACUUGAUUAACUUUCGCUUUCGAGCGGUUAGAAGGGCUGCUUUCGAGCUCCCUUUGUCUAUCAAGUCUAUGUCUAUAUAAUCUCUUGUAUGUCUAGAAUGUCUUGUUUAUGGGACGCAAGUCCUUUAAAUCAUAUACAACUUUCAACAACGGAUCUCUUGGCUCUC